rnacentral:rRNA from 1 species
CAGUAGCCGCGGUAAUACGUAGGUGGCGAGCGUUGUCCGGAAUUAUUGGGCGUAAAGGGAGCGCAGGCGGACAUAUAAGUCCAUCUUAAAAGUGCGGGGCUCAACCCCGUGAGGGGAUGGAAACUGUAUGCCUUGAGUGCAGGAGAGGAAAGCGGAAUUCCCAGUGUAGCGGUGAAAUGCGUAGAUAUUGGGAGGAACACCAGUGGCGAAGGCGGCUUUCUGGACUGCAACUGACGCUGAGGCUCGAAAGCCAGGGGAGCGAACGGGAUUAGAUACCCGUGUAGUCCCUGUCUCUUAUACA